CCCGCCACUAUACCUGUCCUGACGCCCGUGGCUGGUAUAUUCCAGUGGUGAGCUAAGAGCGAGUGCCAGCCAGGAAGCAGCUCUCCUCUGCUGUGAGGAGACCUGUGCCGAGAGGCCGGGAACACGU
ensembl:snoRNA